AGCUCCAUCAAUGUCUCCCAGCCCAAGGUGCAGUGCUGCAUCUCUGGUCAGUUGUGAGUCUGAGAUGAAGCACUGUAGCUCGGGAAGGGAGGAACUGUGCAGCAGA
rnacentral:pre_miRNA from 13 species